rnacentral:rRNA from 1 species
UACGGAGGGUGCGAGCGUUGUCCGGAAUUAUUGGGCGUAAAGAGCUUGUAGGCGGUCUGUCGCGUCUGCUGUGAAAAUCCGGGGCUCAACCCCGGACUUGCAGUGGGUACGGGCAGACUAGAGUGUGGUAGGGGAGACUGGAAUUCCUGGUGUAGCGGUGAAAUGCGCAGAUAUCAGGAGGAACACCGGUGGCGAAGGCGGAUCUCUGGGCCUUACCUGACGCUGAGGCGCGAAAGCUAGGGGAGCGAACAGG